UAUUGCUGGUGUGGACAGUCCCUAAGAAGAGCCUUGAACCGCUCCCAAGCAUGAUAAAGAUUCUCGUUAGGUUUUUGUUUGAAGUAUAUUAUCUCUCUAUGAAGUCU
rfam:Capsicum annuum cultivar Zunla-1 chromosome 3, whole genome shotgun sequence